GGAAGGAUCAUUAAUAAUAACCUGUUUGAGAAGUAAUUCUCUUACUAACAACACCUUGUGAACUAGUAACGUUCUUCGGAGCGGCCUUUGGCGAUGCCUCGCAUUGCCAUUGGAUUAUUUUAUACCUUUGUAAUAUUUGUAGACUUAAAAAAACUAAUUUUAUACAACCUUUAACAAUGGAUCUCUUGGCUCCUGCAACGAUGAAGAACGCAGCGAAAUGCGAUACGUAAUGUGAUACGCAGAUCUUCGUGAAUCAUCAAAUCUUUGAACGCACAUUGCACUUCCUGGCUUGCUAGGAAGUAUGUCUGUUUGAGUAUCAUUUUAACCUCAAAACCAAAUGUUUGUAAAAACACUGGCUUUGGAUUUGAGUCAACAUAGCAUGCUACGUGACUUUAAAUUGAAAGUGUCAUCCACAAUACGGUGAUAGUGACAUGUCUCUUUUCUAAGAACAGUCGUUCUCGAGAGGAUUCAUUCAUGACAUCUGUAGCGUGGGCUAAUGAAGCUUUAACUCGCGAGUGUGCAGAUCAACAUCUGGCAUGCCCAAUUUUAAAAUCUUGAUCUCAAAUCAAACAAGACUACCCGCUGAACUUAAGCAUAUCAGUAAGCGGAGGAACAGAAACUAACAAGGAUUCCCCUAGUAAUGGCGAAUGAAGAGGGAUGAGCUCAAAUUUGAAACCUGAUAGGGCAACCUGUCCGGAUUGUAGUUUGGAGAAGUGUUUUCCGUGAUCCAUUGAGUCUAAGUUCCUUGGAACAGGGCAUCAGAGAGGGUGAGAAUCCCGUCUUUGUCUCAAUUGUGGUUACUUUGUGAUACACUUUCUAAGAGUCGAGUUGUUUGGGAAUGCAGCUCAAAAUGGGUGGUAAAUUUCAUCUAAAGCUAAAUAUUGGCAGGAGACCGAUAGCGAACAAGUACCGUGAGGGAAAGAUGAAAAGCACUUUGAAAAGAGAGUCAAAUAGCACGUGAAAUUGUUAAAGGGGAAACGAUUGAGACCAGUGAUGAUUCUAGAAAUCAACUUUGGAGAUUCCGGAGUGCACUUUUUAGCGUCAGGUCAGCAUCAGUUUUGCGGAUUGGAUAAGAGCAGAAGGAAGGUAGCUACCCUCGGGUAGUGUUAUAGACUUAUGCGGAUACAAUCUGUGGGACUGAGGACUGCAGUACCUUUGGGGCAUCUAUGAUUUUGUGGGAAUGAUUGAUUAGUACUUUUAAAGAACUAGUCGUAUCAAACACGCACUUUUGUGGAAUGUCACUCCAGUACUAAGGAUGCUGACAAAAUGGUUUUAAACGACCCGUCUUGAAACACGGACCAAGGAGUCUAACAUAUAUGCGAGUAUUUGAGUGACAAACUCAAGUGCGCAAUGAAAGUGAAUGUAGAUGUGAUCCGCAAGGUGCAACAUCGACCGAUCUGGAUAUUACGAUUGAUAGAUUUGAGUAAGAGCAUAUCUGUUGGGACCCGAAAGAUGGUGAACUAUGCCUGAAUAGGGUGAAGCCAGAGGAAACUCUGGUGGAGGCUCGUAGCGAUUCUGACGUGCAAAUCGAUCGUCAAAUUUGGGUAUAGGGGCGAAAGACUAAUCGAACCAUCUAGUAGCUGGUUCCCUC
rnacentral:misc_RNA from 1 species